CAGUAGCCGCGGUAAAACGUAGGGUGCAAGCGUUAAUCGGAAUUACUGGGCGUAAAGCGUGCGCAGGCGGUUUUGUAAGACAGAGGUGAAAUCCCCGGGCUCAACCUGGGAACUGCCUUUGUGACUGCAAGGCUGGAGUGCGGCAGAGGGGGAUGGAAUUCCGCGUGUAGCAGUGAAAUGCGUAGAUAUGCGGAGGAACACCGAUGGCGAAGGCAAUCCCCUGGGCCUGCACUGACGCUCAUGCACGAAAGCGUGGGGAGCAAACAGGAUUAGAUACCCCCGUAGUCCCUGUCUCUUAUAC
rnacentral:rRNA from 1 species